rnacentral:tRNA from 1 species
AGCGAAGUGGCGCAGUGGAAGCGUGUGGGGCUCAUAACCCCAAGGUCGUAGGAUCGAAACCUACCUUGACUA